rnacentral:rRNA from 1 species
CCCAGAGGCAGCUACCAUGCAGCUGAGGGGUACAUUACUGCUUGCAGUACAUGACGACCGGCGCACGGGUGAGUAACGCGUAUGCAACCUGCCUUGUACAGGGGGAUAGCCCGGAGAAAUCCGGAUUAAUACCGCAUAAUAUGAUUGAUUCGCAUGGAUUAAUUAUUAAACCUUCGGGGGUACAAGAUGGGCAUGCGUAGCAUUAGCUUGUUGGUGAGGUAACGGCUCACCAAGGCGAUGAUGCUUAGGGGGUCUGAGAGGAUAGUCCCCCACACUGGUACUGAGACACGGACCAGACUCCUACGGGAGGCAGCAGUGAGGAAUAUUGGUCAAUGGACGCAAGUCUGAACCAGCCAUGUCGCGUGCAGGAUGACGGCCCUAUGGGUUGUAAACUGCUUUUUUACGGGAAUAAACUUAGCUACGUGUAGUUAACUGAAGGUACCGUAUGAAUAAGGAUCGGCUAACUCCGUGCCAGCAGCCGCGGUAAUACGGAGGAUUCGAGCGUUAUCCGGAUUUAUUGGGUUUAAAGGGUCCGUAGGCGGGCCUGUAUGUCAGUGGUGAAAUCUUACGGCUCAACCGUGAAACUGCCAUUGAUACUGCAGGUCUUGAAUAUAGUUGAGGUGGGCGGAAUACGUUAUGUAGCGGUGAAAUGCAUAGAUAUAACGUAGAACACCGAUUGCGAAGGCAGCUCACUAAGCUAUUAUUGACGCUGAUGGACGAAAGCGUGGGGAGCGAACAGGAUUAGAUACCCUGGUAGUCCACGCCGUAAACGAUGAUUACUCGUUGUGCGCGAUACACAGUGCGCGACUGACCGAAAGCAUUAAGUAAUCCACCUGGGGAGUACU